CUCAUGGUUUCACGGUAUUGCAAUGAGAACAAUUUAAAACCCUUAGCGAGAAUCAAGUGGAGGACAAGUUUGGUGCCAGCACCCGCGGUAAUUCCAGCUCCACUAGCGUAUAUUAAAGUUGUUGCAGUUAAAAAGCUCGUAGUUGAACCUCUGUCUGGGGCUAGUUUUGGCUUUGGUCAGGCUAGUUCUAGGCAUCCGCCUACAAGACUUAGAGGGCAUUCAGUUGUUCACUAGGAGGAGUAGGCAUUUUACUUUGAAAAAAUUAGAGUGUUUAAGGCAGGCAAUCGCCCGCAUAUAUUAGCAUGGAAUAAUAGAAUAGGACACUUUUCCAUUUCGUUGGUUAUUGGAAUCGUGUAAUGAUUAAUAGGGACAGUUGUGGGCAUUUGUAUUUAAUUGUCAGAGGUGAAAUUCUUGGAUUUAUUAAAGACAAACUAACGCGAAAGCAUUUGCCAAGGAUGUUUUCAUUAAUCAAGAACGAAAGUUAGGGGAUCAAAGACGAUCAGAUACCGUCCUAGUCUUAACUAUAAACUAUUCCGACUCAACGUUUGACUGGCUUAUAUAACCAGUUGAGCGUUGUAUGAGAAAUCAAAGUCUUUAGGUUCUGGGGGGAGUAUGGUUGCAAAGCUGAAACUUAAAGGAAUUGACGGAAGAGCACAACCAGGAGUGGAUUCUGCGGCUUAAUUUGACUCAACACGGGGAAACUUACCAGGUUAAAACAAUAGUGGGAUUGACAGUUUGAGAGCGCUUUCUUGAUUGGUUGGGUGGUGGUGCAUGGCCGUUCUUAGUUGGUGGAGUGAUUUGUCUGCUUAAUUGCGUUAACGAACGAGACCUUAACCUGCUUACUAGACUGGCGAUCAUCAAUCGUUAGCUCUUCUUAGAGGGACUUUGGUUGUUUUAACUCCAAGGAAGUUUGAGGCAAUAACAGGUCUGUGAUGCCCUUAGAUAUCCUGGGCCGCACGCGUCAUACAAUGACUAGUUCAGAAAGUUUUCUCCUGACCCGAAAGGGGAUGGGUAAUCUUGAUAAUACUAGUCGUGUUAGGGAUCGAUCUUUGCAAUUAUAGAUCUUGAACGAGGAAUUCCUAGUAAGUGCGGUUCAUCAGACCGUACUGAUUACGUCCCUGCUCUUUGUACACACCGCCCGUCGCUUCUACCGAGUGGGUGGUCCGGUGAGAUAAUUGAACUUCGCAGGUAACUGAGAGGAAAGAUUAUCAAACCAAUCCACCUCGAGGAAGAAGAAGUCGUAACAAGG
rnacentral:rRNA from 1 species